AAGACUAUACUUUCAGGGAUCAUUUCUGUAGUUUCUGACUUGAGGAAUGUGUUUCUAAAGUGUUUGGUCUCGCUAACCACGAUGAUGAGUUGUGAUGUUCCCUUCUGAAUCAGAAACUGACAGAGACUAAUGACUCAGUUCAUGCUCUCUGUCAUUGAUGUUUGCGCUGUACUUCUUCUGGAUGUACUGAGGAAGGGAAUAUGAUCAGAGUGGU